GUGAACUCGAAGAGUAGGGCGGGACACGUGGUAUCCUGUCUGAAUAUGGGGGGACCAUCCUCCAAGGCUAAAUACUCCUGACUGACCGAUAGUGAACCAGUACCGUGAGGGAAAGGCGAAAAGAACCCCGGCGAGGGGAGUGAAAAAGAACCUGAAACCGUGUACGUACAAGCAGUGGGAGCACCUUCGGGUGUGACUGCGUACCUUUUGUAUAAUGGGUCAGCGACUUAUAUUCUGUAGCAAGGUUAACCGUAUAGGGGAGCCGCAGGGAAACCGAGUCUUAACUGGGCGUUAAGUUGCAGGGUAUAGACCCGAAACCCGGUGAUCUAGCCAUGGGCAGGUUGAAGGUUGGGUAACACUAACUGGAGGACCGAACCGACUAAUGUUGAAAAAUUAGCGGAUGACUUGUGGCUGGGGGUGAAAGGCCAAUCAAACCGGGAGAUAGCUGGUUCUCCCCGAAAGCUAUUUAGGUAGCGCCUCGUGAACUCAUCUUCGGGGGUAGAGCACUGUUUCGGCUAGGGGGUCAUCCCGACUUACCAACCCGAUGCAAACUACGAAUACCGAAGAAUGUUAUCACGGGAGACACACGGCGGGUGCUAACGUCCGUCGUGAAGAGGGAAACAACCCAGACCGCCAGCUAAGGUCCCAAAGUCAUGGUUAAGUGGGAAACGAUGUGGGAAGGCACAGACAGCCAGGAUGUUGGCUUAGAAGCAGCCAUCAUUUAAAGAAAGCGUAAUAGCUCACUGGUCGAGUCGGCCUGCGCGGAAGAUGUAACGGGGCUAAACCAUGCACCGAAGCUGCGGCAGCGACACUAUGUGUUGUUGGGUAGGGGAGCGUUCUGUAAGCCUGCGAAGGUGUGCUGUGAGGCAUGCUGGAGGUAUCAGAAGUGCGAAUGCUGACAUAAGUAACGAUAAAGCGGGUGAAAAGCCCGCUCGCCGGAAGACCAAGGGUUCCUGUCCAACGUUAAUCGGGGCAGGGUGAGUCGACCCCUAAGGCGAGGCCGAAAGGCGUAGUCGAUGGGAAACAGGUUAAUAUUCCUGUACUUGGUGUUACUGCGAAGGGGGGACGGAGAAGGCUAUGUUAGCCGGGCGACGGUUGUCCCGGUUUAAGCAUGUAGGCUGAUUGUCCAGGCAAAUCCGGAUAAUCAAGGCUGAGGUGUGAUGACGAGGCACUACGGUGCUGAAGUAACAAAUGCCCUGCUUCCAGGAAAAGCCUCUAAGCAUCAGGUAACAUUAAAUCGUACCCCAAACCGACACAGGUGGUCAGGUAGAGAAUACCAAGGCGCUUGAGAGAACUCGGGUGAAGGAACUAGGCAAAAUGGUGCCGUAACUUCGGGAGAAGGCACGCUGGUGUGUAGGUGAAGUCCCUGCGGAUGGAGCUGAGACCAGUCGAAGAUACCAGCUGGCUGCAACUGUUUAUUAAAAACACAGCACUGUGCAAACACGAAAGUGGACGUAUACGGUGUGACGCCUGCCCGGUGCCGGAAGGUUAAUUGAUGGGGUUAUCCGUAAGGAGAAGCUCUUGAUCGAAGCCCCGGUAAACGGCGGCCGUAACUAUAACGGUCCUAAGGUAGCGAAAUUCCUUGUCGGGUAAGUUCCGACCUGCACGAAUGGCGUAAUGAUGGCCAGGCUGUCUCCACCCGAGACUCAGUGAAAUUGAACUCGCUGUGAAGAUGCAGUGUACCCGCGGCAAGACGGAAAGACCCCGUGAACCUUUACUAUAGCUUGACACUGAACAUUGAGCCUUGAUGUGUAGGAUAGGUGGGAGGCUUUGAAGCGUGGACGCCAGUCUGCGUGGAGCCAACCUUGAAAUACCACCCUUUAAUGUUUGAUGUUCUAACGUUGGCCCCUGACCGGGGUUGCGGACAGUGUCUGGUGGGUAGUUUGACUGGGGCGGUCUCCUCCCAAAGCGUAACGGAGGAGCACGAAGGUUAGCUAAUCCUGGUCGGACAUCAGGAGGUUAGUGCAAUGGCAUAAGCUAGCUUGACUGCGAGCGUGACGGCGCGAGCAGGUGCGAAAGCAGGUCAUAGUGAUCCGGUGGUUCUGAAUGGAAGGGCCAUCGCUCAACGGAUAAAAGGUACUCCGGGGAUAACAGGCUGAUACCGCCCAAGAGUUCAUAUCGACGGCGGUGUUUGGCACCUCGAUGUCGGCUCAUCACAUCCUGGGGCUGAAGUAGGUCCCAAGGGUAUGGCUGUUCGCCAUUUAAAGUGGUACGCGAGCUGGGUUUAGAACGUCGUGAGACAGUUCGGUCCCUAUCUGCCGUGGGCGCUGGAGAAUUGAGGGGGGCUGCUCCUAGUACGAGAGGACCGGAGUGGACGCAUCACUGGUGUUCGGGUUGUCAUGCCAAUGGCACUGCCCGGUAGCUAAAUGCGGAAGAGAUAAGUGCUGAAAGCAUCUAAGCACGAAACUUGCCCCGAGAUGAGUUCUCCCUGAGACUUUAAGUCUCCUGAAGGAACGUUAAAGACGAUGACGUUGAUAGGCCGGGUGUGUAAGCGCAGCGAUGCGUUGAGCUAACCGGUACUAAUGAACCGUGAGGCUUAACCUU
rnacentral:rRNA from 1 species